AUUUAAGCAUCAAUGCUCCUUCCUUCUUGGAGAAUUGGUUAGUCGAGCUAUGCUGCUCCUGCUUCUUAGCAUGGGUCUUCUUUGAGAAUAUUUUUUCAAUGCAUUCAGUCACUGCUGUCUAGGUUGUGUUUUUAGGUCACAUGUGGAAGUUGAAUGUAGACACAUCACAAAUAGAUGGAAGACAAGCAUGUUAUAUAUUUCUGUGCAUAUAGUGCCUCAAAACAAGAUUUAGGAAAAUUAUCCAAAUCCAAUGCACCAAAAGCAACACACUUUUUAUUCUUUACCUAGAAACCUCUGAAAAAAAUAUAAAAAUAAAAAAAUCAAGAGAACACUUUUAUAGUCAUAUGAGAUUAGUUUGAUUGAUCUCUUCCAAUUUCACUACUAUACUUUUUUUAUCAUCAAUUUCGCCAUUUUUUUUGAACGAUGUGGACACAAAUUUAUUGAGAGGAAGGAUGCAGCCAGAAUAUGCAAACAAGAAAAAAGAAACCAUACAACAAAACCCAAGAGCCAUUAUAGCUCAUCGCAGCUGGCAGGAAAAUGAUCAACAGCCUUCAAGGUCAACGCCCAUCAAUUUCACCACUACCCUCAUAAUUUCUAAAAAUAAAAAUAAAAAGCUCUCAUAUGUCAAUUUUUACCACCACAACAUUUUGGAAUGUCUGAUAAGCUAUCACUUGAUGUCAUUGGAUGUUUAAAUGAAAGCUGAAGGAUGAGGAGAUGGUCUGUAGAAUGUCGUUGGUAGAAAAGAUGAAGCAUAUAUCCCAUAGCAUGGCAUUGAUAAAAGAAUCUGGACUUUGAAUCAUCAACUUCCCUUUAUAACCUAGCCAGUCUUUCCAUAUUCGCAAUUUUACUGGAGAGGGUACCCCACCCAGAGUAAGAAUUUUGGUCAUCCUGUUCGGCCCAAGUUUCGGCUUUUUGUUGGUUGUGGAUGCACAAGAUUUUAACUUGUGACCAUAAGAAGAUAGUGGAGCCGGGGAAUCGGUUUAUUCCUUAUCCAUUGCUUGAGGGCAAGUUGCAUUUGGGAUUACUUCUUGAAUUUCGUUGGUAUUUAUUGGGUUUUCUAUGACAUUCAUUAGUACUUUUCAGUAGUUGGCCAAGUGGUCCCUUGGUGAAAGGGGAAGGUUCUUAGGAGAAUGUUACCAUGAGCUAUCAUAUUAAUCUCCUAUAUUGACUAUGCCACCUCCUUUUGUUGGAUUACACAAUCGGUUCAAAUAGAUUGGAAAUAGUACAUGAGUAGGAUGCGAUCCUGAGUCUCUCCCCUCUUGAAGAGGCGUGCCCUAAUUAACUCAAUCAGUAAGCGGUAUCUGACCAUGAUGCUUUGCAUGCUUGCAGAUUUAUAUGUAUUCUUGGUGUUUACAUGAAUUUUGGUUGAUUGAUAUUGAUGUGAUUUCCACAGACAUUCAUGGAACAUUGCCAGGGCAUAAAGAAAAGGGUAUGCCCUGUCGAAAGUCUUUUAUUGAUUUGGGAUCAUGACACAUUCCCGGCUGUGGUCUAGCACAAUGUUUGAUUAUAUUUAUCCCUUGAUUCUAAGGUAGAUCCCAUAGAGAUACAGUCAGUCUACAUGGUAGAAAAGAAAGUAAACCGAAUGCAAAUGAUGCACACUCUCACAAUCACGAUCCUUUGUAUUCAGAGUAUCUGGAACAUUGAUCACGAGCGGGGGUGAGUGUGGGGCUCAAUAUCAGCUUAGCUACAUGAGCUUUGGUGAGCACAUUUUCAAUAUGAUGCCUUUGAGGCAGUGGGUGCAGCUUAGCGUUGGUCACUAUGCUGCUGUCUAAGUGAGCAAAAGACUAGACGAGCUCCUCCAAAGUCAGAGCGUAGGGGCCUCUCACCUGUGCGUGCUGAGGCAUGGGAAGGAGAAAGGCAGGAUGAGAAUGAAAACUUGAAGAAUUUCGGGGAAUGCUCCAAGGGAGAAAGAAUGCUAGUGUUCGAAAUGAGAGGCCUGAUGGGGUAUUUAUAGGCAAGGAUUGACGGGUAUUGCCAGCUGGCAUGUUCAAAGAGGCAAGAGUGGACAUGUGUUGCAAUCUGAUUUGACGACUUAAUCACUCCGCACCUCUUUAUGAUUGUGCGCCUAGCUCAGAAUGCUGGCUGCACUCACCCUUGGAGAACUGCCCCGAGCUAUGGAACAUGAACCAAACUAGAGCAAAGGCGGGCCCUAGGCAUUAUUGAUGCCCAGCGCCCAUGUGCCAAUCAUCACGUGAAGGGCACAAGCAUGCCAGGGUAGGGCGCGCUGAUAACAAGUCAAUCAUAAGUGCGCAUCAGGCAAAAACGGUGCCAAUGCUCAAGCAGAGCUAAGCCUAGGGCACCAGCUCUGCCACUUCAUAGAUGGGCACGGGCGGUUUUGGAAUGGCCAAGGGUCCCCCUUUAUUCCUCAGCAUAAGGGCAAUGUUACUUUGAGAUAAGCAGCAGGGUAACCGAUACCAGAAUAGUUAAAUGCAAAGCUGGACAAACUAAAACAAGGUAAGUCCUGGUGCUGUCCAUGUUUCUCAGCAGUGUUAGUCAAAGAAGAGCUAGACACACACAUUAUGUGUUUAGUUGUGUAUGCACCUUGCCUGGGCCCCAAGUCAGGCGGCAGCCAUGGCCAUGAGUCUCCCUGGGCCCAAAUCACUUAGGCAUAUGCCUGGAUGCAGCCUGAUAAAAAGACGAAGGGUGCCCCUACUGGCACCUCAAAUAAGGUGUAUUUUUUGACACUGCAACACCUGUUAAUGGUGUAAAUACUUAAGGGGGAUCAUAUACCUCCUUCAAAACAACUUUUCCUUUUUGUUUGGAUCAAAUUUUGAGGGAAAUACUUCCCCAAAAUUCGUUAGAGUUUUGUAAACUCAUAAAAUCUUUUUCUUCUUGAUUUCUUUCUUUUAUCCAUGUUAUAAAUAAAUCAGGCUUAUUAAAGCAAUCCGAGCUUCCAUUGGUGCUGUACAAUAGAUCGAAGAUGAAGCAUUUGAGCUUCCAUUGGACUUCUUGGAAGAAAUUUACUUUUGAUUUUGACAAUAUUUGAAUGGCCAUCUCUUUCUCUCUC